UACGUAGGGUGCGAGCGUUAAUCGGAAUUACUGGGCGUAAAGCGUGCGCAGGCGGUUCUGUAAGUCCGAUGUGAAAUCCCCGGGCUUAACCUGGGAACUGCAUUGGUGACUGCAGAGCUAGAGUGUGUCAGAGGGAGGUGGAAUUCCGCGUGUAGCAGUGAAAUGCGUAGAGAUGCGGAGGAACACCGAUGGCGAAGGCAGCCUCCUGGGAUAACACUGACGCUCAGGCACGAAAGCGUGGGGAGCAAACAGG
rnacentral:rRNA from 1 species